rnacentral:rRNA from 1 species
UUGGAGGGCAAGUCUGGUGCCAGCAGCCGCGGUAAUUCCAGCUCCAAUAGCGUAUAUUAAAGUUGUUGCAGUUAAAAAGCUUGUAGUUGAACCUCGGGGUCUACCCAUUGGUCAGGCUUAAUUGUCUGCACUGGUGAGAUGGAUCUCUACCUUCUGAGGAACUUUCAUGCCAUUUAUUUGGUGUGAUGGGAAAUCAGGACUGUUACUUUGAAAAAAUUAGAGUGUUUAAAGCAGGCUUACGCUUGAAUACAUUAGCAUGGAAUAAUGAAAUAGGACGUUUGAUUCUAUUUUGUUGGUUUCUAGGAUUGACGUAAUGAUUAAUAGGGAUAGUUGGGGGCAUUAGUACUCAAUUGUCAGAGGUGAAAUUCUUGGAUUUAUUGAAGACUAACUACUGCGAAAGCAUUCGCCAAGGAUGUUUUCAUUAAUCAAGAACGAAAGUUAGGGGAUCGAAGACGAUCAGAUACCGUCGUAGUCUUAACCAUAAACUAUGCCGACUAGGGAUCGGAUGAUGUUAAUUUUUUAAUGACUCAUUCGGCGCCUUACGGGAAAC